GAUGAACGCUGGCGGCGUGCCUAAUACAUGCAAGUCGAGCGAACAGACGAGGAGCUUGCUCCUCUGACGUUAGCGGCGGACGGGUGAGUAACACGUGGAUAACCUACCUAUAAGACUGGGAUAACUUCGGGAAACCGGAGCUAAUACCGGAUAAUAUAUUGAACCGCAUGGUUCAAUAGUGAAAGACGGUUUUGCUGUCACUUAUAGAUGGAUCCGCGCCGCAUUAGCUAGUUGGUAAGGUAACGGCUUACCAAGGCAACGAUGCGUAGCCGACCUGAGAGGGUGAUCGGCCACACUGGAACUGAGACACGGUCCAGACUCCUACGGGAGGCAGCGGUAGGGAAUCGUCCGCAAUGGGCGAAAGCCUGACGGAGCAACGCCGCGUGAGUGAUGAAGGUCUUCGGAUCGUAAAACUCUGUUAUUAGGGAAGAACAAAUGUGGAAGUAACUAUGCACGUCUUGACGGUACCUAAUCAGAAAGCAACGGCUAACUACGUG
rnacentral:rRNA from 1 species